rnacentral:rRNA from 1 species
UACAGAGGGUGCAAGCGUUGUUCGGAAUUAUUGGGCGUAAAGGGCGCGUAGGCGGUGCGGUAAGUUUGUGGUGAAAUCUUCAGGCUCAACUUGAAAAUUGCCGCGAAGACUGCCGUGCUGGAGUGUGGGAGAGGAGAGUGGAAUUCCUGGUGUAGCGGUGAAAUGCGCAGAUAUCAGGAAGAACACCCGUGGCUAAGGCGGCUCUCUAGUACGGUACUGACGCUGAGACGCGAAAGCGUGGGGAGCGAACAGG